CCUACGGGUGGCAGCAGUGGGGAAUAUUGCACAAUGGGGGAAACCCUGAUGCAGCGACGCCGCGUGAGCGAUGAAGUAUCUCGGUAUGUUAAGCUCUAUUAGCAGGGAAGAAAAUGACGGUACCUGACUAAGAAGCCCCGGCUAACAAGGUGCCAGCAGCCGCGGUAAUACGUAGGGGGCAAGCGUUAUCCGGAUUUACUGGGUGUAAAGGGAGCGUAGACGGGGGUGCAAGCCAGAUGUGAAAGCCCGGGGCUCAAUCCCGGGACUGCAUUUGCAACUGUGCUGCUAGAGUGUCGGAGAGGCAGGCGGAAUUCCUGGUGUAGCGGUGAAAUGCGUAGAUAUUAGGAGGAACACCAGUGGCGAAGGCGGCCUGCUGGACGAUGACUGACGUUGAGGCUCGAAAGCGUGGGGAGCAAACAGGAUUAGAUACCCGGGUAGUC
rnacentral:rRNA from 1 species